GGAGAGUUUGAUCCUGGCUCAGGAUGAACGCUAGCGGCAGGCUUAACACAUGCAAGUCGAGGGGCAGCAUAAUGGAUAGCAAUAUCUAUGGUGGCGACCGGCGCACGGGUGCGUAACGCGUAUGCAACCUACCUUUAACAGGGGGAUAACACUGAGAAAUUGGUACUAAUACCCCAUAAUAUCAUAGAAGGCAUCUUUUAUGGUUGAAAAUUCCGAUGGUUAGAGAUGGGCAUGCGUUGUAUUAGCUAGUUGGUGGGGUAACGGCUCACCAAGGCGACGAUACAUAGGGGGACUGAGAGGUUAACCCCCCACACUGGUACUGAGACACGGACCAGACUCCUACGGGAGGCAGCAGUGAGGAAUAUUGGUCAAUGGACGCAAGUCUGAACCAGCCAUGCCGCGUGCAGGAUGACGGCUCUAUGAGUUGUAAACUGCUUUUGUACGAGGGUAAACGCAGAUACGUGUAUCUGUCUGAAAGUAUCGUACGAAUAAGGAUCGGCUAACUCCGUGCCAGCAGCCGCGGUAAUACGGAGGAUUCAAGCGUUAUCCGGAUUUAUUGGGUUUAAAGGGUGCGUAGGCGGUUUGAUAAGUUAGAGGUGAAAUUUCGGGGCUCAACCCUGAACGUGCCUCUAAUACUGUUGAGCUAGAGAGUAGUUGCGGUAGGCGGAAUGUAUGGUGUAGCGGUGAAAUGCUUAGAGAUCAUACAGAACACCGAUUGCGAAGGCAGCUUACCAAACUAUAUCUGACGUUGAGGCACGAAAGCGUGGGGAGCAAACAGGAUUAGAUACCCUGGUAGUCCACGCAGUAAACGAUGAUAACUCGUUGUCGGCGAUACACAGUCGGUGACUAAGCGAAAGCGAUAAGUUAUCCACCUGGGGAGUACGUUCGCAAGAAUGAAACUCAAAGGAAUUGACGGGGGCCCGCACAAGCGGAGGAACAUGUGGUUUAAUUCGAUGAUACGCGAGGAACCUUACCCGGGCUUGAAAGUUAGCGACGAUUCUUGAAAGAGGAUUUCCCUUCGGGGCGCGAAACUAGGUGCUGCAUGGUUGUCGUCAGCUCGUGCCGUGAGGUGUCGGGUUAAGUCCCAUAACGAGCGCAACCCUUACCGUUAGUUGCUAGCAUGUAAUGAUGAGCACUCUAACGGGACUGCCACCGUAAGGAUACUAAAAAAGUCGGUACCGGACAUUAUAAAACAUUUGAGUGCAGCAAAAUAAUGGGAGACCAG
rnacentral:rRNA from 1 species